UGAUGAACAUGAUGGCAUACUGAAGAGUCUAAUUCAGAAAGAGAAUGGAGAGCGUAGAGAGACCAGAGAGUGACAGAAGAAAGCUGACUUUCAGCCUCAGUGUAAAACAUCAAGGAAGAAAUGGUCGAGAGAAUGGUGCAAUGAGUUCUGUGCAGGAAAAUGGAAGCUUCCUGGAAGAAGUGGUCUUGAGCUGAAUCUUCCAGUAAUGGGGAACAGAAAGCUGGAGUCUCUGGUAAACAACAGAACUUCCCUGCAAGUCAUGGCUCAUGAAAUUCAAGGAUUCUAGGAUAUUAAUUGUUUUGCCUCAGAGGACAGAAACUUGUAUGAUCAUGGAGAAUUCAUUUUUGAAUACAGGAGAAACAUCUUCACAGAUUCUGGAGGGUACACACCUGAGGAGUAGGUGCUAAGUAAAUUCUUAGACAGCUAUUUCAGCAAACCUACUGAGAGAGCUCAUGCACCACCACCUCUCAUCAUCUAAACAGCCUGCCUCUGCUGGCCUAGAGUCAGAAUAGCUGGCCUCUAUGAGAACUCACAUGGACCUUGGCAAACUUGCAUUGGUGGUCAUGGAUUCUGGAAACAUGGACAUUUGCCAACCUACCAGAAGUUCGUCUCUAAGCUGCCCUGCCUGCCAUUUUGAGCAAGCCCACACUCAUAACUUCUUGAGGGACUGAGUUCAAGCAUGUCAAAGAAGUGGGGAAUUUUAAGGCCCC